GUAGGUGGCAAGCGUUGUCCGGAAUUAUUGGGCGUAAAGGGCUCGCAGGCGGUUUCUUAAGUCUGAUGUGAAAGCCCCCCCGGGCUCAACCGGGGGGAGGGUCAUUCGGAAAACUGGGGAACUUGAGUGCAGAAGAGGAGAGUGGAAUUCCACGUGUAGCGGUGAAAUGCGUAGAGAUGUGGAGGAACACCAGUGGCGAAGGCGACUCUCUGGUCUGUAACUGACGCUGAGGAGCGAAAGCGUGGGGAGCGAACAGGAUUAGAUACCCUGGUAGUCCACGCCGUAAACGAUGAGUGCUAAGUGUUAGGGGGUUUCCGCCCCUUAGUGCUGCAGCUAACGCAUUAAGCACUCCGCCUGGGGAGUACGGUCGCAAAGACUG
rnacentral:rRNA from 1 species